rnacentral:rRNA from 1 species
GGGGAAUAUUGCACAAUGGGGGAAACCCUGAUGCAGCCAUGCCGCGUGUGUGAAGAAGGCCUUCGGGUUGUAAAGCACUUUCAGUCAGGAGGAAGGUGGUGUAGCGAAUAUCUGCACAAAUUGACGUUACUGACAGAAGAACCACAGGCGAAAUCCGGCCCAGCAGCCGCGGUAAUACGGAGGGUGCGAGCGUUAAUCGGAAUUACUGGGCGUAAAGCGUGCGCAGGCGGUUUGUUAAGCGAGAUGUGAAAGCCCCGGGCUCAACCUGGGAUGGUCAUUUCGAACUGGCAAGCUAGAGUCUCGUAGAGGGGGGUAGAAUUCCAGGUGUAGCGGUGAAAUGCGUAGAGAUCUGGAGGAAUACCGGUGGCGAAGGCGGCCCCCUGGACGAAGACUGACGCUCAGGCACGAAAGCGUGGGGAGCAAACA